AGAGUAAUUAAUUACCUGGGACUGCUGUGCUCCCAGGUGAAUUGCUCCCAGCUUCAAGUUCCACUGGUUUACUGGGAUUUGGAACAAAAAAACAGGAGUCUGCUGCUCCCUGUACCAGGGGCAGACCUCAAUCACAGAAAAACUCUGGCAUAUUUCAUGGUGAGGAACUUGAAAUACAGGAGGAAAGAACACACACAGAGAGCCAGCAAUUCCACAGUCUAUGCAGAACUGGGGAAAGAAAACAGCACCUGCACCUCCCAGUGUCCUCCUGCUUAGUUCUGUUGGCUCAGCAGAGCUUGGAGCAAGUCAGUCAAAUCAUGUGGAGGAUGAAGAACCUGUUUUUCCAUGAACUCUCCCUCCUGCAUUGACUUGUAGCUAGAGGAUAAGAUUGCUUCCUACAUGCAACCUCAAAUAUUGGUGGAAAAAUCACAUCUGUCGCCCUGAAAACUCAGCUUCUGAGCUUGCUGACAUGGUUUUCUAAAGACUUUCCCAGGACAGUAACUGUAAACAUAGAUAUGUGUACAUUCUUUCUGUUACACGUCUUGUGAUGGGCAUCUCUCAUAGCCAGUGCAGUGAGAAAAUGUUAUCCUGACCAUCCAAUCCCUGGCUGUGGUCAGGAGCCUAUAAAUCCUGGGGAAAAAAAUAAACUCUCUCUUCUC